AUUAGGCAUGCAAGGUCGAACGGUUAUAAACCGUUUCGGGGUUUAGAGAGUGGCGAACGGGUGAAGUAACACGUAAGGUAAUACUACCCCUACAAAACCGGGGGACAAACCCGAGGGGAAACUUGGGCUAAUACCGGAUGCGUGCAAGCAAUGUUUUGCUGUUAAUGCUAUUCACGGAAGUGAGUAGUGUUAAUGGUUGAGAGCAUUAUUUGCAUAAAAGGUGGCAUAUGCUGCCGUUUGAGGAUGAGCCUGCGUCCUAUUAGUUAGUUGGUGAGGUAAUGGCUUACCAAGGCGAUGAUAGGUAGGCGGCCUUAACGGGUGGUCGCCCACACUGGGAUUGAGAGACGGCCCAGACUCCUACGGGAGGCAGCAGUCGAGAAUAGUCUACAAUGGACGGAAGUCUGAUAGUGCGACGCCGCGUGAACGAAGAAUCCCUUCGGGGUGUAAAGUUCUUUUAUACGUGAGCAGUGCCCUUUAUAUGAAUAGUAUAGAGGGAGGGAUUUAAGCGUAUGAAUAAGCAACGGCUAACUCCGUG
rnacentral:rRNA from 1 species